rnacentral:lncRNA from 1 species
UUUUUGUUUUUUUUGUUUUUGUUUUUUUAAGUGGGAGAAAGAUGAAUACAUAAAGCUAUUCCCAUUCCCAAAUGAGAGAAGAAUGAUCUAGAGCUACUCCUCUAGCGGGGUUCAUAAACCAGCAGCAUCAGCAUCAUGUGGAGCUGCUUAGCAAUGUAGAAGCCCAGGCCCCCUUCGGUGCUACCGAAUCAGGAUUUGCAUAUAAACGAUCCCCAAUAAACAGAUGAUACACAUGCAGAGUAGAGUCAGUCUGAGAAGCAUUUCCCUGGAAUCCAAGCAACUUUUCUCAUGGCCACACAAGAGAUCAAUACUCAGACACAGACUUCUUAACCCUUGCCUGCCAUGCUCUUUUCACUUCUCUGCCUAUGACCAUGCCUCACAGAAGGGUGGGGCAGGAGUUUUGUUUCCAGUCAUUCAUGCUUAAGUAGAGAGAUCAGGUCCCUCUAGAAAGGACAGGCCUGAAGCAGAAUUUCAUCAAGGCCAAGUCAGUGUUUGGCAAAAAUAUUAAUAUAAUCAUACUCGACCAUAUCUGUGAUUAUUACGAUUUUAGCUCAUGCACUGCACCAGCAGAUAUUUUGUGUUAAAGACCAUUUAUCCUUAAAACAGGCAAUAACAAUAAAAAUAAUAAUAAUAAAAUUUUGGUUUUGAUGGAAUCUAUUAUUCUAGUAAGCAGACAUUUCUUUCAAGAGGAAUGACUCAAAGGUGCUGCUUUAUGUCAAGAGCACACAAUGAUAGUACCUGUUGAGUGGCAUGCAGCAGUGAGAGGGGAGUGAUAGGUGAAGAUAGGCCACAGGAUGGCAUCAAUGAGAGAAAGGAUGUUUUUGGCAAAGGCAUGCAGGGCUUUCUCAGGACUCUCAGAGUGCUUAAGAAUAGUUGGGAACAUAGGAAAAGGAUUGUCAGAAACUAUGUAUUAUGAUCCCUCUGAAUGUUUUCAAGUUUAGCAAAUAUUGGAAUUUCUUUUCUUUUUAAAAUUAUUUUUAUUUAUUUUUAAAGAUUUUAUUUAUUUAUUUUAGAGAGAGAGAGAGAGAAAGAGAGAGAGGGAGAGUGCAGGAGGAGGGGCAGAGGGAGGCGGAGAGAGAGAAUCACAGGCAGGAUCCAUGUGCAGUGUAGAGCCUGAUGCAGGGUUUGAUCUCAUGAUCCUGAGAUCAUGACCUGAGCCAAAAUCAAAAAUUGGUUGCUUAACUGACUAAGCCACCCAAUCACCCCACAAAUAUUAGAACAGAAAUUCCAAUGUUCAGGAUGAGUUUCUUUACAUAUGAUGACACUGCAGCACUGAGUUCUGUGCUUUGUUUUAUACAGAACUUAAAGAAGAGGGAAAGAAAUAACACUUCUACUAAGGCUUUUAUUUGAGUUUUGAGUUACUCUGUAAAGAUUCCCUUCUCCUUAAUGAAUAAUGCCUCCUAGAACUCAUAUCCUUGUACAGUUCCCUCCCUUUAAAUCUGGGCUGGACCUAUGACUUGUCAUCAGUAGGAUCCAGGAGAAGUGAUGCUGUGCAACUUUUAAGGCAAGAUUAUAAGGAGUCUUGCCUAGAUCUUUUGGAAUACUCAUUUUUAUGAAGCUUUAUACAAUCUCCAUUUAAUCCUUAACACAUCCCUAUGAAUUAACAAAUAAAUUAUGUAUGAAAUAGGCAAUGUCUAGAAAUCGUGUAUACAAUGAGGAACAAAGCAAAUAAGAUUGUCGCCCUCAGAGAACUCAUGUUUGAUUCUCUUUAUACCAUCUCUUCUACGUAGCCUUUUGAACUUCCCUUUUUCCUGUCUCAUCAAGGCUGAGUGUGACCUUAAAAACCCAUACUUCAACUUGUACACAACAAACUAGCAUUCUCCCUAACCCUAGACUCUUCACCUUCUAGUCCAGUUAGCAUGUCACUACUCAUUCCUACAUGCAUCACCUUAAAAUCCCAUGAAAUCUUGUCACUUUCCUGUCAAGAGACAAAAGUGAUAUAUCACGUGCAUCUAUAAGCUUCAAAAGAAACAGGUGAAAUCAGAAGGAGCUAAGAACUACUAGAGUGUCUUGAGGUUUUCAGUGAGUUUAUAGUGGGAAUCAUUCAGUAUAAGAACCAGAAGACUGGGAGACAGAGUGUAAUAUGAAUUUGAUACAACAGAGUAGAGAAAUCCCAGUGGUGGCCAGGUCUAGACCCAGAGGGUAGGCAAGUAGUUUAUGGUUGAGGUUGUUUGAGACAAAAGCAUUUGGAAUUUGGAACAUUUAGAAGGUGAGAUUGCAGGAUGCUGUGUGGGUGACUCACAAAACUUAGAUCUUUUUUUUUUUUUUUUUUUUUUUAAAAAAACAACUUAUAUGAUGACAAGGCUUUGGGUAUAAGGUAAGAUUAUGAGUCAAAUACCAGGUAUUUAUAAUGAAUGAGAGGAAAUGACCAGGAAGGUAGUAGAUACCCUAGAAGACAUCCAGGAUGGUAGAGUAGAAUCACUUUCAAAGAGAGUGAAGUAAUCAUUUAGAGGAAGCUUUGGGGAUUUAGAAGAAUUUGAACCUCUAUACUCCUGGCCUGUGGUUAGUGGUACGUUCGUUCAUUUGU